rnacentral:lncRNA from 1 species
UGGAAAAGUCACAUUUGUGGGUAAUUAUGAAAUUUCCACUAUUGGAAACAAUUCCGGAUGCCAUUACGAGAGAAAAAGAAAAAGUAAUCUGCUGCAGAAAAGCCAAAAUAAAGAUGACUUCUAUGAUUGCACACAUAUAUGAAUAUAUAUUCAUAUUCGUCCCCUAUUAUGCAAAUAGGUGAAGCACAAAUAAAAAUGCGUGCUGGCAAGAGAUUAGAAUUUUGUUUUAAAAAAAGAUUUCUACACUUCAGAAGAAAAAGCACAUCUACAACUGAAUUAUAACUGCAAAUGGUUUCAUAUCACCAACUUGUAUCAUUCCCGUGGGCUCUGGCUGACUGAGGCUUAGAAAUGUUUGUAUUUCACUUUAGAAAUGUUUCUAUUUGCUGUCGCAGAAGCCACUGUGAUGCGAUUUGACCCGUGCCUUUGUUCAUAGAACAAUCCUCUCAGAUAUGUAAACAGGGAUUUGAUUUUUCUUUAAGUCAAAGAAAGCCAAAAAUAUGAUUGUCAGAACAAGCGCCUCUUUCUGCGGGAUCCUCGAGUUGAAUGAAAGCCAUUCAAGUUCUAUGAACUGCUGUCUCCACUCUCAACACACAGCAGAUUUAUAUUUCAGAAGGUUUUGACCGAGAACAAAAUGUAACUGAAAUAUCUCCGCCAUUCCUUUUUCCUACAGAACAUUCCAUGGGCUGAACUCCCAAUGAGGGGCAUGGGGUUGUCAGCUUCUGUCUGCACUUCUACCCUCUAGCUGGUCUCUGCUGCAGAUUUCCAGUUUUGACCCUUUCCUGCCAAGACAAAAAUAGACACCUUUUGGAUAUGUUGCAACUUGUCAUUGAGAGAAAUGAAACCCUAUUGCUUUUAUUCUGUGCUACCUUUAAGCAUCCAUGGCUUU